AAAUUGUAGCUUAACUAAAGCAUUUCGCUUACACCGAAAACAUGUCUGUUAAACCCGGACCACUUGAGCCAAAAACCUAACCCAAAAACCUAAUAUUCAUCCAACUUUCUAACCAACUUAUUAAAACAUUUUACAGUUAUAGUAAAGGCGAUUGAAACAUCUUUUGGAGUAAUAUUUCUAGUACCGCAAGGGAACAAUGAAAUAAAAAUGAAAUAACUAUCAAGCACCUAGUAGUAGAGACCUCCCCUCGUACCUUUUGCAUCAUGAUUUAACUAGUUUAUCCAAGCAUAAUGCACUAAAGUUUGCUCUCCCGAAACUAAGCGAGCUACUUCGAGGCAGUUCCAGGAACUAACCCAUCUCUGUAGCAAAAGAGUGGGAAGACCUUCAAGUAGAGGUGACAGACCUAACGAGCUUAGUGAUAGCUGGUUACUUGAGAAAAGGAUCUUAGUCGCAACCCAACUUUUACAAAAUACACCUAAAUAAAAACUAAAAUUUGGAGUAAUUCAAAUAAGGUACAGCCUAUUUGAAUCAGGAUACAACCUUUAUAAAUCGGGUAAUUAAACUUUUAUGUAAUAAAGUAGGCCUAAGAGCAGCCAUCUUCAAAAAGCGUCAAAGCUUAUUCACAAAUCAACUUAAUCCCCCUAAUUUUUAAAAACCCUUAAUCUCUAUUAAGUAACUCUAUAAAAUUAUAGAACCUAUUAUGUUAAAACUAGUAACAAGAAUAAGAACUUCUCUUUAAUGCAAGUGUAAAUCAGGCUGGACAAACCACUGACUCUUAACACUUUGAAGCCAGAGUAACAACCUACCAAGAAAAUCUUACUUCACUUAAUGUUAACCUGACACAAGAGCAUUCUCAGACAGAUUGAAAGGAAUAGAAGGAACUCGGCAAAUAUUAACCUCGCCUGUUUACCAAAAACAUCGCCUCUUGAUA
rnacentral:rRNA from 1 species